UACGAAGGGGGCGAGCGUUGUUCGGAUUUACUGGGCGUAAAGGGCGCGCAGGCGGCUCAUUUUGUCAGGCGUGAAAGCCCCGGGCUUAACCUGGGAACUGCGUUUGAUACGGAUGGGCUAGAGUUCGGGAGAGGAGAGUGGAAUUCCCAGUGUAGAGGUGAAAUUCGUAGAUAUUGGGAAGAACACCGGAGGCGAAGGCGGCUCACUGGGGGUCUUCUGACGCUGAGGAACGAAAGCCAGGGGAGCGAACGGG
rnacentral:rRNA from 1 species